rnacentral:rRNA from 1 species
GACGAACGCUGGCGGUGUGCCUCACACAUGCAAGUCGAGCGGACGAAGAUUGAAGCUUGCUUCAGUCCUAGUUAGCGGCGGACGGGUGAGUAACACGUAGGAAUCUGCCUUCAGGCGGGGGGACAACGGAACGAAAGUUGCGCUGAUACCCCAUAUGCGAGUAAUCGUAAAAGGAGCAAUCCACCGGAAGAUGAGCCUGCGUCCGAUUAGCUAGUUGGUAGGGUAAAAGCCUACCAAGGCUACGAUCGGUAGUUGGUCUGAGAGGAUGAUCAGCCACAAUGGAACUGAGACACGGUCCAUACUCCUACGGGAGGCAGCAGUGGGGAAUUUUACGCAAUGGGCGAAAGCCUGACGUAGCGACACCGCGUGAGCGAAGAAGCCUUUUGGGGUGUAAAGCUCUGUCAGCUGGAACGAACACAAUGACGGUACCAGCAGAGGAAGCAUCGGCUAACUACGUG